rnacentral:rRNA from 1 species
CUACGGGGGGCUGCAGUGAGGAAUAUUGCACAAUGGGGGGAACCCUGAUGCAGCAACGCCGCGUGGAGGAUGACGCAUUUCGGUGUGUAAACUCCUUUUAUAUGUCAAGAAAAUGACGGUAGCAUAUGAAUAAGCACCGGCUAACUCCGUGCCAGCAGCCGCGGUAAUACGGAGGGUGCAAGCGUUACUCGGAAUCACUGGGCGUAAAGGACGCGUAGGCGGGUUGGAAAGUCAGGUGUGAAAUCCUACAGAUUAACUGUAGAGCUGCACUUGAAACUUCUAAUCUAGAGUAUGGGAGGGGGAGAUGGAAUUAGUGGUGUAGGGGUAAAAUCCGUAGAUAUCACUAGGAAUACCUAAAGCGAAGGCGAUCUCCUGGAACAUUACUGACGCUAAGGCGUGAAAGCGUGGGGAGCAAACAGGAUUAGAUACCCCCGUAGUC